UGCUUUGGCGCUUUAGCUGUAUGAUAGAAACAUAUUUCAUAAAGCUAGAUUACCAAAGCA
rnacentral:pre_miRNA from 1 species